rnacentral:rRNA from 1 species
AGCUCCAAUAGCGUAUAUUAAAGUUGUUGCAGUUAAAAAGCUCGUAGUUGGAUUUCUGGGUGGAGCGACCGGUCCGCCGCUGUGCGGUGUGUACUUGUGUACGACUCGACCCAUCCUUGUGGGGAAGCGUCUUCCGGCAUUAAGUUGUCGGGGCGGGGAACCGCAUCAUUUACUGUGAAAAAAUUAGAGUGUUUAAAGCAGGCAAAUCGCUGUGAAUACAUUAGCAUGGAAUAAUAACAUAGGACUUUGGUUCUAUUUUGUUGGUUGGAGGCCAAGGUAAUGAUUAAUAGGGACAGUUGGGGGUAUUCAUAUUUAAUUGUCAGAGGUGAAAUUCUUGGAUUUAUGAAAGAUGAACUCAUGCGAAAGCAUUUACCAAGGAUGUUU